CGCGAGGGGCGCCCAGCGAGUGAGCGAGCCAGGGUGGCGGCCGGCGGCCCGCGGCGCGCAAAUUCUGAGCUGAGGAGCUCUAGGAGGUGAAACUUCAGAAGAAGAGAGCAGACUCUUAAGAGUACAUCUGGCUCAUCACCAUGAGGUUAGGAAAACCUAAGGGAGGUAUUUCUCGGAGCUCAAGCCAAGGAAAAGCUUAUGAGAACCCACGCAAAACAGGCCGGCAGCGGCAAAAAUGGGGAAUGACUGUUCGAUUUGACUCAAGCUUGAGUAGACUGAGAAGAAGGUUGGAUGAGAAGCCCUAUAAAUGUACUGAAUGUGAAAAGAGUUUCAGUCAGAGCUCAACUCUUUUUCAACACCAGAAGAUUCACACCGGAAAGAAAUCCCAUAAAUGUGCCGAUUGCGGGAAAAGUUUCUUUCAGAGCUCUAACCUCAUUCAGCAUCGGCGGAUCCAUACUGGGGAAAAGCCCUAUAAAUGUGAUGAGUGUGGAGAAAGGUUUAAACAGAGUUCAAAUCUCAUUCAACACCAGAGAAUUCAUACUGGAGAAAAACCCUAUCAGUGUGAUGAGUGUGGCCGAUGUUUCAGCCAGAGUUCCCACCUUAUUCAACAUCAGAGAACCCACACAGGGGAGAAGCCCUACCAGUGCAGUGAAUGUGGCAAAUGCUUCAGCCAGAGCUCUCAUCUUAGGCAGCACAUGAAGGUGCACAAAGAAGAGAAACCUCGUAAAACCCGGGGCAAAAAUAUUAGGGCAAAAACUCACUUAGUGUCAUCUUGGAAAGCUGGUACAGGUAGGAAGUCAGUGGCUGGUCUCCGCUAAGUAAAGGGCACUGCUUCAGCCUUCUUUUAAAUACAAAAAUAAAAGCUGUCCCUUUUAGAACUGGAGAUAUUUUGUAAUAGAGCACUUAAAUACUGUAUCCUUUCCUAGCAUGGAGACAUUGGGAGUUUAAUGACCUUGGGCUGAGAAAAACUACAAGUCCAGCUGGUCUCAUUUCUUUUUAUGUAACUUGGAAGACAAAAACCCGAAACUAUGUUUUGAGGGAAUAUAAGAUCCUUGACCUCAUAUGAUAAUUGCUUCCUGCAUCAUUUUGACAAAAAUAACUAUGUUUUAAUGGCACGUGUGAAAGUGCAGGUAUUCUAGUGACUCCUCAGUUUUAGGACUUCUGUGGAAGUAAUUAAAAGGGAGAAGAAAUUAAUUCCGUUAGUGUGGAAGUUCUGCAGCCGAUGAGGAGAUUUUAUGUUUGUAAAGUUUUGUAGUAUAUUAACCAUUUGGUAUGUAAGUAUGACUCAAGACUCAACAUAUUAAAAUGUAUUCCUGUUCACUUAGCUUUUGUUUUUCCCUCCUGCUUACGGACACUUAUUAAUAAAAGGAAUUGAAUUUCCCUCUCUUUCACCCAAUGCUUAAUAAGAGAUCCUCUAGAAGCCAAAGUUAGAACUGAAGUAGACUACAAGUCUCCUAUUCCCACUAGCACGGUUCUUUGAGAUGGUGUUACACUGUGCCACUUGUUUCUGAGAAGUUGGGGUGGCUUCAUGUUCACCCGUCCCCAUGCCUUUGUCUUUCGGCAUUCGCUUACCCUCUGACAAACUGAGCCAGCCUGUUAGAUCUACGUGAAUAAAUAAUUAAACCAUAUCCUACCAGCACACUCAACUUGUUAAUUAGAAAUCUACAAUUUACACGCUUCCCUGCUUUCCCCCUUUGAGAGUUUUAGGUAACACUGGUUAUCUUAAACAAAUGCUUGUCGACAGUGAAAGUCAUUUGACUCCAGUGUCCGUGCAUCUGUAGCUCAAUGUGUAGAUUUUGAAAUGUAAGUUAACUUCCUCUGAGUCGAUACGAAUUAUUUAUGAAGUUGAGCAAACCUGUUUCCUAACUUUCAUCAGGACAGUGCCAAGUGUCAGACAUUCUGAUCAGCCUUCAGCUCAGGUUUUAAUUUCUAUUGAAAGCUAACAUUCUUCUGAUUUUUUUGUAUCUUUUGUAAUCAUACCAGUUCCUGCUGUAUUAAUGACAUCCAUAAAAAUAAAGAAAAUGAAAUAUUUUGCAUACGA